GUGCUCACAUUGGCAGCACACAUACUAAAACUGGAAUGAUACAGAGAAGAUUAGCAUGGCCCCUGCACAAGGAUGACAGGAAAAUUCAUGAAGCACUCCAUAUUUAA